rfam:Felis catus isolate Cinnamon breed Abyssinian chromosome A2, whole genome shotgun sequence.
GCCUGGGUGGCUCUGUCAGUUAAGCGUCUGACUUUGGCUCAGGUCGUGAUCUCACAGUUCGUGGGUUCGAGCCCCACGUUGGGCU